UUGGGCACUCUAAUGAGACUGCCGGUGACAAACCGGAGGAAGUGGGGAUGACGUCAAGUCCUCAUGGCCCUUAUGGGUAGGGCUUCACACGUCAUACAAUGGUCGGUACAGAGGGUUGCCAACCCGCGAGGGGGAGCUAAUCCCACAAAGCCGAUCGUAGUCCGGAUCGCAGUCUGCAACUCGACUGCGUGAAGUCGGAAUCGCUAGUAAUCGUGGAUCAGCAUGUCACGGUGAAUACGUUCCCGGGUCUU
rnacentral:rRNA from 1 species